GCCAACGUGGCGUAGUGGUUAGCGCGUCUGCCUAGGGAGCAGGAGAUGUGGGUUCGAAUCCUAGCUUUGGCA